UAAAUAGCCCCGGCCGAGCGUUUUUGGUUCUCUUUGUGCGGUGAAGUCGUGGGUAGGUGGCAUGGGAGCUGUAUGGUGUGUGCCAAGCGUGCUGCGGACCUUUCCCCGAAUUAGAGGAAGGCGGCACCCUGCGCCAUCUUUGCACAGCUGCCCGCGUGCAGGGCCCUGAUUCUGGAAGCCGGAUCUGCAGCUCCAUGGGGGGGUUUAAGACGUCCACCAGUGUGUUACCCUUGAGUAAAGGUGAGU